GUGCUUACUGCCUCCCAGGCCCCAUCAGGUGCAUGAGAACUUAGGCACUUGACCCACACCACGAACCUGGGGCAGGAUCAUCAUCCCAAAACCAAGGACCCUGUGAAGGGCUUUGCCCCAGGUCCCACAGCCCUGAGUGGCAAGUUGAGAUUCAGGUCUAGGUUAGGCAGCUGGUGCCUUUUUUUCAGCAGAGCAUCUCUAAGAAGGCACCCUUCCUCCAAGGAACGCACGAACAGGAGGUUUCAGCGCCAGGACAGCGAGGCAGCAGUUUCCAAGCAGUGGGACUUUUCUGGACUGAACUGGAGAUUCAUGGAGGUGACCUCCACUUCCUACCUGCAGUGUCCAGCACCUCCUCCUCAGCUCCUGCUGCUCCAGCUGCUUCCUGACCCUUGGAAUCUGUGGCCUCAGGCCUGCUCUGCCCUCUGACUCAGGCAGCUCUGACCUUUGGGAUCUGAGCAGAUGGCCUGGGUGGUUUUGCCCCAUGAACUUGCUCUGACCUUCCCCCC
rnacentral:lncRNA from 1 species